UAAGUUCUGCUUAUUAGUUAAGCUUGAUGUCAAUUUCGUGUUUCCUUUUUAUGCCGAGUAGUUUCUUGUGGGGUCAAAAGUCCACGGUUGUUUAUUGUUAGGAUGCUCCAAUGCUCAAGGUAGGGCUAAUAUGAGAGAAUAAUAAAUUAGAUUAAUUAGAGAGAAAGGACUUUUCUCCGUGUAUGAUUUGAUCAUUUUACAUGGGACAUAGAUAAUGAUGAUUAUGGUAAGUCAACUGUCUAAUUACAUAGAUAUUAUUAGCUAGCAUAAUUAUCGAAUAUAUUUCUGUUUAUAGUGCAUAAGUAUAGGUAUUGUUGCCUUUGACAAUCUGACCAAGAUAGAUAUUGCUCAUCUUUAAUUAAGAUUCUUUCUUUUUAUUGAGUUUUAUAGCGGUUGAAUCUACUAUACGGAUCUCAUGAUUGAACCAUUAAAUAUGAUGAACUUGUGGCACCAUUCCCUGUAAAACUGAUGUUAUAGUUAAGCAAACUUCAUAAUAAAGGAACUUGAAUGUGGGAGAUGUUUAUGACUCUUUUCUUUAGAAGAAAGUGCUAAAAAUAUGAAAGUAUAUGCAUGUACUAAAGGUUUUAUAUAUUGCUUAGGUGAUUGUGUGGUAAAUGGAAACUGCAUCCUAAAAUUUGUUGCUGUUGGUGGUUCUGACUAUGCAUUUCUAUAUGAGGAGGGUUGUAAUGCAAAUGUUUGGCAGAGCAUGUAAGUAGGGGUUCACUGUGCAGUAUUGUAUGUAUUAUUUACACCACAGAAGCUUUUUGAGAAUGAAACAAAAAGUUCUGCAGGAUUUUUAUUAGAAGGUCAGUUGAGAUGAAAUGGAGAAAAUGGAUGAAUUUGAGAAGUUUCAUCUGUUUUGGGCCAAAGUGGGAGAAGCAAAUGAUAAUAGCUUAUUGAGUACUUAUGGGACUGAUAAUUUUGGGAUUUAAUGGAAAUAGAAUAGUGGUGGGAAUGAUAUUAAUUCCUAUUAGUAGCCUUUUCCUGUUCACAUGUUUGUUUUUAUCAUUGAUCAAUAGCAUAUGAUACUUUAUUGUGAGAAAAAAAGUGGGCUAAGAAUUGGAAAAAAAGCAAAAAUAUGGACAAGUGAUGUCAACUCGAAGUGUAAUUUGAUUAUUGAUUUGUACUUGCUUUCUUCUUUUAUGAAUUGCCAGUGGAUACUUAAUAUUGUCUUUAAUACAUUAUUUAGGCUUAAUUAUUAGAUACGCCGAGAACACUAAAUAAUAAUGUUCCCUCUUUCGCAGAAAAGUGAGCUCUCCUUGUAAUAUAAAGAGUGGGUCUCAUAUAAGUUUGUUUAUAUGAUGCAUUUGCACCCGGUGCACUUAAUAAUUUCUCGUUUGUUUAUGCUCCUUUAUAAGUUUGAGGUGGGCUAAAUAAAGUGGAUGAAAUGACAAGGAGGUGUAACUUUAGGGGAAGAAUUGGGUCCAAUGGUAGCAAUCUCUUCAACAUUUCAAAGGGAGUAAAAAGUUGUUGGUUCUUACUAGCAAUUUGUAAUCCUUGAACUAAUGGAGAUCGCAAAUAGAUGGUAUGAUGAAUUAAAAUGCUUCCCUUGAAGUAGAAGGGUUGAAACAAGUGGUUAUUAAGAUGGGUUGUCAGUUUGAUUUUUUUCUAGAUUGAAUGGAGUGGUCAUAUAGGUCUCACUCGUAGUCUAGAUAUUGAAAUAUUGGCA
rnacentral:misc_RNA from 1 species